GUUCGGUAUCGCUUUCUAAACGUAGGCUCGCGAGGUGUUUUGUUUGGAUUCAGGCGAGCACAGGGCUCCGCCCGCCCUCUCCAACGAGCCCCCUUGUCAGUAAACGCGGCCGCUCCCGUCCGGGUGUCAGCCCAGGAGAGAAAAGGCAGGUGCCCGGUGUGACAUCAGGGUUAUGACCCUCCCUCUCCUCUUCAGAACAGACCCAGCUCUCCCACGACCUCCUCCAAGAAGUCUUCCCUGAUUCUGGUCAGAGGGAUGAAGUGCUCCAAAGACCCCAAAGUGCUUUUCACCCUCUUACUCAUGGUGUUCAUCCGUGGGCAUGAAUCCUCUCUCUUGCUGAUUUGCAAGCUCCUUUGGGCCAGGAUGAUGUGCGGGCUGUACAGCGCCAAGCAUAUUUCCCCUUCGAUCUUGAGGCCGUGUGCAGAUUACAAGUACUGCACAGGGUGAGGAGACCCAGGACUCGGCAGAGAACUCCAUGCGUAGUCGGCGUGGACACAUCUUGUUCUGGGCUCCAGGUUCUCCAUCUGCACGAUGAAGACUCUGGAUAGAUGCCUUCCGAAGUCCUUCCAGGCAUGACCAUUUUAUAAAUAAAUAGAAGGCACUAAAUCCUUCAGAAAGUAAUUUCUCCCAUCUGCCAAGCUGGACUUCCCAGCCUCCAAAAUUCCAGCUCAACAUCCAUGUGUUCAUUGUUGGGUUUAGAGAUUGGGUGCUGGAGUUAGUGGAGACCUGGGUUGAAUCUUGGUCCUUAGUAAUGGCGGCUGCAGGCAAGUUACCUCCUCACUUCCGGGAAACUCCCUUUCCUUGU